rnacentral:lncRNA from 1 species
CUUUAAACCCUGCUCCGAUUUUUUUUAACCCUGGUUCCUUUGCCUGGCCGUGGCCGGCAAGGCCCCAAUCCCUGAAUUCCUGACCUGUGGUCGUGCUGUCUGCUGCGUUGCACCUCCCCCAUUACUGAAAAAAAAACGUUUUCUUUUUUAGGAAAAGAAAAGAAACAUUUACAGCCAGCCAGAGACUUUGAAUUAGCGUGAAGCGCACGACAGAUUCUUCCCCCAUCCGAGGGCCGAGCGAGAUCCCUCUUUAAUCGUGGCCCCGGAUAAACACCGAGAUAUUUCCGCACCAACAUGUCGCCCGCGCGCCGAGUUGCAUCGAAAACGUGACGGAAUCCGCGCCGCGCAUCGCAUCUGACGGCGUGUAAACACCGGAGCACGGGUCCGAAGACCUCCUUUUUGAGAUUCUUACCCACAUUCAGAUUUGAAAGUUAGGUAAUCCCAUUCCAUAACCCACCCUUCCGAAUGACGUGGUGUUCGAGUGUCUCCACCAAUCGUCUGCGCGGGGGGACCCGCUCUUUUGGCGCUGACAGCAUCCUAUCCUCGUCCUCCCGCACAGCCACGCCUUCCCCUUUCGAAGCUGCACACCGCCACACCCUGACCGUUCCGUCCCGAGGCGGGCGUGUCGGCCACGUCGCGUGGCAGCCGGGCGCGACAGGGCGUCG